CCUGUUCAGUGUCAGGGAAGUGAGAACAAAGCUUCCCCACUCUGUUCUUCUCCAUCAUGGGGUUGAAGAGUGGGAUGACUUGGACCUGAUUCUGGGCUCAUGGACAAGAAAUUACCUUGCAUUGGCUUCUCUGACCCAAAGGAUGUCUGGGUGGCACAAAGCCGUAGCUGCCAGCUCUCAGAGUUUUGAUCACUCUUUACGUCAAACAAGCGACCACCUCUCAGGAGGGUCUUUCUGAAGCGCAGCUCUCACAAGCUACUGGGCAGCAGCAGAGGAAGCCCAGCGUGUCGGAUCUGCUCACCUCUCAAAUCAUCACCGGUCAGCAGAUUCCAGAUGGCAACACAGGAGCAUGAGGCCCAGCUAGGCAUCCCUGGGGCCCUGGCGCCCCCGCAGCGGCCGCCCCGGAACCGAGCCGCGGGCUGGACGCACUUCAGCCAGCCCCGACCUCGUGACAAUAUGAUGGUGACCAGCGGACUCUGGAA